rnacentral:ncRNA from 1 species
AUACAAGCGUUGAAAAGGAAUAGUAAAAGAGAGUUCUAGCGUACAGAGAUCCGUUCCAUAGGCUGAAAGAAUGGACGUUAUCCUCACUUUGAAGCCGCCUUUGAGCUUUGUUUUGGAAAUGGCAAGAAAAAGCCGGAGUAUAAAACAACGGUGUGGUCCACGUUAUUGGGACCGAAGUUCAUUUAGAACUUAAUGAGUCUGUUUUUCGUGAGUGAAGCAGAAAAGCUGAGUGGUACCGCGGACCCUCGCCUCGGCA